rnacentral:rRNA from 1 species
CUCAAAAGAGUUUAUGAAAGAUAUUCUGUAACCGAAAAAUUUGGAUCUCAUUAAAAAUUGUUUAGAAUCUAUGUCGGGUAGACUAACAUUAAAAAUUUUUAGUGUGUUGUGAAAAGUUAAACGUCAAAUUUUAUAUCUGUUUAAUGACUUAAAAUUUCCAUUUACUGACUUAGUUAUAAUAUUAAGUCGGCGUAUAUAUUACUAAUCCACUAAAAUUUAAAUAGGGUUAAAAUUACCCACUUAUAAAAAAAUUGUUUCAAAUUUUUUUUAUACGCUUAGUAAUUAUAUUAGUAGUCAUUUAAAAUUAACCUGUGGAAUUUAAUGAUUUUUGAAUAAGUAAUAAAAAAAAAUUAAUCAUUUCUCAAGUUUUGCCCGUCUGUUUAUUAAAAACAUUUCCAUAUUGAAUAUUAUAUGGUAGUACCUGCUCUAUGUUUAUUAUAAAUGGCCGCAGUAUCUUGACUGUGCGAAGGUAGCAUAAUUAAUUGCCUUAUAAUUAAAGGCUUGUUUGAAUGGUUUGACGCGGUAAACACGAAAGUUUAAUUUUUUUCUGAAAUUUAUUUAGAGGGCACAGAAUCCUCUAUCAUUAAUUAGACGGAAAGACCCCAGGAUCUUUAUUUUUUGUCUGGGGCAGAUUUGUAUUUUUUAUACUAAUUUUGAUCCUUAAAGGAAUAAUGGUUUAAGUUACCCUGGGGAUAACAGUGUAAUAGUUUAGUAGAGUUCUUAUCGAAUAAAUUGUUUGCUACCUCGAUGUUGACUUAGGUAAAUAAUGUAGGCGCAGUAGUCUACUUUUAUGGUCUGUUCGACCAGUUCUACCUCCAUGAGUUGAGUUAAGACCGGCGUAA